rnacentral:misc_RNA from 1 species
UUCUUUAGUCAUUUUGGCUCA